rnacentral:rRNA from 1 species
AUACGAAGGGGGCUAGCGUUGUUCGGAAUUACUGGGCGUAAAGCGCGCGUAGGCGGAUACUUAAGUCAGGGGUGAAAUCCCGAGGCUCAACCUCGGAACUGCCCUUGAUACUGGGUAUCUUGAGUUCGAGAGAGGUAAGUGGAAUUCCGAGUGUAGAGGUGAAAUUCGUAGAUAUUCGGAGGAACACCAGAGGCGAAGGCGGCUUACUGGCUCGAUACUGACGCUGAGGCGCGAAAGCGUGGGGAGCAAACAGGAUUAGAUACCCCUGUAGUCC